GAGUAGAGUGGCGGACGGGUGAGUAACGCGUGGGAAUCUGCCUAGUAGUGGGGGAUAACAAUCGGAAACGGUUGCUAAUACCGCAUACGCCCUACGGGGGAAAGCGGGGGAUCUUCGGACCUCGCGCUAAUAGAUGAGCCUGCGUUAGAUUAGCUUGUUGGUGGGGUAAAGGCCUACCAAGGCGACGAUCUAUAGCUGUUCUGAGAGGAAGAUCAGCCACACUGGGACUGAGACACGGCCCAGACUCC
rnacentral:rRNA from 1 species